CGGGAGCGGGGCCGGGCGCGGCCGGGAGCUCGCCUCCCCCGGGGGUCGCGCCGCAGCUCGGCGAGGGCAGCGUGGCUCGCGCGGCGUGGACUCAGCCGCUCCUGGGUAAGGAGAGCGCAAAUCUCCUCCCCCGUAUUUCCCCGGAAGCGCGGCCGAGGCGAGCCCGGCGAUGUAAGGGAGGCGGCCGUCGGCUCCUGCCUCAGGAAGGGCAUGUUCGGAGGGGCGGCCUCGGCACGCCACCCGCCUAAGCGCCCCCUUCCCGCCGCAGCGCCCGCACCGCGAUAAAAGGGGCGGCCGCGUUUCCUGACGCGAGAUCCGCGCUCGCCGCCGCCCGCCCAGGAGGCGAUGACACGGCGCCCGCGGCGGCCCCGAGGCGCCGGGUGGGCCGUUUGCUGACCGGAUCGCGGCUACCCGCCAGCGUGUCCGCGGCGCCGCCGCCAGCAUGGGCUGUGCCCCGAGCAUCCACAUUUCCGAGCGCCUGGUGGCCGAGGACGCGCCUAGCCCCGCGGCACCGCCGCUGUCGUCCGGCGGGCCGCGCCUCCCGCAGGGCCAGAAGACGGCCGCCUUGCCCCGGACCCGCGGCGCCGGCCUCUUGGAGUCGGAGCUUCGCGACGGCAGCGGCAAGAAGGUAGCAGUAGCUGAUGUGCAGUUUGGCCCCAUGAGAUUUCAUCAAGAUCAACUUCAGGUACUUUUAGUGUUUACCAAAGAAGAUAACCAAUGUAAUGGAUUCUGCAGGGCAUGUGAAAAAGCAGGGUUUAAGUGUACAGUUACCAAGGAGGCUCAGGCUGUCCUUGCCUGUUUCCUGGACAAACAUCAUGACAUUAUCAUCAUAGACCACAGAAAUCCUCGACAGCUGGAUGCAGAGGCACUGUGCAGGUCUAUCAGAUCAUCAAAACUCUCAGAAAACACAGUUAUUGUUGGUGUAGUACGCAGGGUGGAUAGAGAAGAGUUGUCCGUAAUGCCUUUCAUUUCUGCUGGAUUUACAAGGAGGUAUGUAGAAAACCCCAACAUCAUGGCCUGCUACAAUGAACUGCUCCAGCUGGAGUUUGGAGAGGUGCGAUCACAACUGAAACUCAGGGCUUGUAACUCAGUAUUCACUGCAUUAGAAAACAGUGAAGAUGCAAUUGAAAUUACAAGCGAAGACCGUUUUAUACAGUAUGCAAAUCCUGCAUUUGAAACAACAAUGGGCUAUCAGUCAGGUGAAUUAAUAGGGAAGGAGUUAGGAGAAGUGCCUAUAAAUGAAAAAAAGGCUGACUUGCUCGAUACUAUAAAUUCAUGCAUCAGGAUAGGCAAGGAGUGGCAAGGAAUUUACUAUGCCAAAAAGAAAAACGGAGAUAAUAUACAACAAAAUGUGAAGAUAAUACCUGUCAUUGGACAGGGAGGAAAAAUUAGACACUAUGUGUCCAUUAUCAGAGUGUGCAAUGGCAACAAUAAGGCUGAGAAAAUAUCCGAAUGUGUUCAGUCUGACACUCAUACAGAUAAUCAGACAGGCAAACAUAAAGACAGGAGAAAAGGCUCACUAGACGUCAAAGCUGUUGCCUCCCGUGCAACUGAAGUUUCCAGCCAGAGACGACACUCUUCCAUGGCCCGGAUACAUUCCAUGACAAUUGAGGCGCCCAUCACCAAGGUAAUCAAUAUUAUCAAUGCUGCCCAGGAAAGUAGUCCCAUGCCUGUGACAGAAGCCCUAGACCGUGUGCUGGAAAUUCUAAGAACCACUGAGUUAUAUUCACCACAGUUUGGUGCUAAAGAUGAUGAUCCCCAUGCCAAUGACCUUGUUGGGGGCUUAAUGUCUGAUGGUUUGCGAAGACUAUCAGGGAAUGAAUAUGUUCUUUCAACAAAAAACACUCAAAUGGUUUCAAGCAAUAUAAUCACUCCCAUCUCCCUUGAUGAUGUCCCACCACGGAUAGCUCGGGCCAUGGAAAAUGAGGAAUACUGGGACUUUGAUAUUUUUGAACUGGAGGCUGCCACCCACAAUAGGCCUUUGAUUUAUCUUGGUCUCAAAAUGUUUGCACGCUUUGGAAUCUGUGAAUUCUUACACUGCUCCGAGUCAACGCUAAGAUCAUGGUUACAAAUUAUCGAAGCCAAUUAUCAUUCCUCCAAUCCCUACCACAAUUCUACACAUUCUGCUGAUGUGCUUCAUGCCACUGCCUAUUUUCUCUCCAAGGAGAGGAUAAAGGAAACUUUAGAUCCAAUUGAUGAGGUCGCUGCACUCAUUGCAGCCACCAUUCAUGAUGUGGAUCACCCUGGGAGAACCAACUCCUUCCUGUGUAAUGCUGGAAGUGAGCUGGCCAUUUUGUACAAUGACACUGCUGUGCUGGAGAGCCACCAUGCGGCCUUGGCCUUCCAGCUGACCACUGGAGAUGAUAAAUGCAAUAUAUUUAAAAACAUGGAGAGUGGCAUUAGAUUUAUAGCUGCAGAGGACACAUACCUGGAUAACAGAUUGUUUUCAGGAGUACCUGUCUGGUCUGGAUCAGUAAUUUGUAGCAGCCUCUAAUUUGUCAUCGAAAACAGGAAUGAUUAUCGGACACUGCGCCAGGGGAUUAUCGACAUGGUCUUAGCCACAGAAAUGACAAAGCACUUUGAGCAUGUCAACAAAUUUGUCAACAGCAUCAACAAACCUUUGGCAACACUAGAAGAAAAUGGGGAAACUGAUAAAAAUCAGGAAGUGAUAAACACUAUGCUUAGGACUCCAGAGAACCGGACCCUCAUCAAACGAAUGCUGAUUAAAUGUGCUGAUGUGUCCAAUCCCUGCCGACCCCUGCAGUACUGCAUCGAGUGGGCUGCACGCAUUUCAGAAGAAUAUUUUUCUCAGACUGAUGAAGAGAAGCAGCAGGACUUACCUGUGGUGAUGCCAGUGUUUGACAGAAAUACCUGCAGCAUCCCCAAAUCCCAAAUCUCUUUCAUUGAUUACUUCAUCACAGACAUGUUUGAUGCUUGGGAUGCCUUUGUAGACCUGCCUGAUUUAAUGCAGCAUCUUGACAACAACUUUAAAUACUGGAAAGGACUGGACGAAAUGAAGCUGCGGAGCCUCCGACCACCUCCUGAAUAGUGGGAGACACCACCCAGAGCCCUGAAGCUUUGUUCCUUCGGUCAUUUGGAAUUCCUGAGGGCAGCCAGAGUUCCUUGGUCCUUUCAGUAUUAGGCAGAACAGCCCCCGAUCUGCAUAGCCUGUGAAAGCCCACGGGGACAUCAGUAACCUUCUGCAGCCACCAUCCAAUGCCAUUACUGUCAAGUGAGACUUGGCCACUGUAGCCUGGGCCUGCUGCAGGAGCUCUUCAGAAAGGCACAUGAAGACCACGGUUUGCAUCAGUUUCUGGUAAAACACAAGGUCUGGAGUGCCCCUGCAAAGGGUAUUGAUGGACUUCCUGCCAGUGACUGACAGAGCAUGUCUGUUGCCAACAAUUCUCUCAGUUACGUUCAGCACUUAAGAAUGGCUAAUGGCAAUAGGAUCUUUAGCAACUUUUUCACAUCAUAGAAGGUGCAAUCACUCACUUGGGAACACUACUGAGAGUGACUUCUCUUUUAAAAUUGAGUAGCAAAUGAAAAAUUAAAAUUUGAACUUGAUUAUUAAUAUCAAUUAAAAUGUUUUAUUUAUUUUAUUAAAAGCUCAAUAUUUUCUGUGAAUUCAAAAAUACUUCAGAGCCAAAGCCAACUUCAAGUACCGUGACCAAAUUUACAUGAUUCAUAUUCAUUAUGCAUUACUUGGUAUACAGACUUAUUUUCAUAAUGCAAAUUAAUAAAAUGACAUUUUUACUGCACUAUAGAAAUAUUCAUGUAUGUUAAACUUUUCUGAUUGAGGCUAAUUGGAAAAAGCUGGGGUCUUAUUCUAAGUGCUAAAGAAGGCUGCUUCCACUGUAUAGAACCCAGGGCUCUGAAACAGCUCUAGCCGCCUAAUGAACUUCACAGGUAACUCCCCAAGGUAAAAUUAGACUCUCUUCUUGGUUUGCAAAGAAAAGUUAGGACUUAACACUUUUUUCUAAAAUUUUAUAAUUCAGUUUCCAAAAGUCUACUCUAUUUUAUACUGUUUCUACAAAAUAUUCCUUAUAAAAACAAAGAACAAAAAUUGAAUAUUUAAUGAAUUGACAUUUUAUAACCAACCUGUUUUUAUCUACAGUGGGAAUCUUUGAUGCCAGAAAUUUAUAAAGAGGUUCUGUAUCUUCACACCUUGAAUAAGCAUAAUACUAUAAAAAAUGACACUUGACAUGUCAAUGUAUUUGUCAUUUCAUUUUAAACUCGUAUUUGUGGUUUUUUUCCCAGAUAAAAAUGAAAUUAAACCAUUUCUUUUUAAGAAAUCA